UACGUAGGGAGCAAGCGUUGUCCGGAAUUACUGGGCGUAAAGAGCGUGUAGGCGGCCCUUUAAGUCAGAUGUGAAAACUCAGGGCUCAACCCUGAGACGGCAUCUGAAACUGGAGGGCUUGAGUGCAGGAGAGGAAAGUGGAAUUCCUAGUGUAGCGGUGAAAUGCGUAGAUAUUAGGAGGAACACCAGUGGCGAAGGCGACUUUCUGGACUGUAACUGACGCUGAGACGCGAAAGCGUGGGGAGCAAACAGG
rnacentral:ncRNA from 3 species